CCGAGUUUACAACUCCCAAACCCAAUGUGAACGUUACCAAACUGUUGCCUCGGCGGGGUCACGCCCCGGGUGCGUAAAAGCCCCGGAACCAGGCGCCCGCCGGAGGAAACCAACCAAACUCUUUCUGUAGUCCCCUCGCGGACGUAUUUCUUACAGCUCUGAGCAAAAAUUCAAAAUGAAUCA
rnacentral:misc_RNA from 1 species